rnacentral:misc_RNA from 1 species
AAGGAUCAUUAUUGAUUUUGAAAGGGGUUGUAGCUGGCCUUUCGAGGCAUGUGCACGCUCCGCUCAAUCCACACACACCCUGUGCACCCUUUGUAGGCGUCGUAAAAACGCGCCUAUGUUUUCACAUCCACCCCAAUGUAUGUCUAUAGAAUGUCAUAUCAUUUCUUCGCCUUAAAAAAGCGUCGAAAAAAAAUUAUAUAACUUUCAACAACGGAUCUCUUGGCUCUC